rnacentral:tRNA from 1 species
GCAGGGGUGGCAGAGCUUGGCCAAAUGCGACGGGUUCAGGGCCCGCUUCCUUUAGUGGAUGCUAGGGUUCAAAUCCCUACCCCUGCA